AUGUCUGGCUUUGUAUUUUUCCAUUUAUUUAGGGUUUUAUGCUGCUCCCCACCACCAUGGUAUCUGGCCCCUUCAAUGGUAGAUCAGUACCAGCCGUCAAGUGCCUAAAGGCCUUCGUGGAGACUGGCACAUCCCUUUUCUAGGCCAAAACACAGCCUGGGGCCGAGGGGCUCACACACAGUGUCUUUGCUGGCGUGGUGGGGAGGCAGAGGGAGGAGGGGCCGUAGGGCUGUGGGCGGGUUGUCAGGGCGUGAGCAGGGCUUCCUGGAAGCUGAGCGCUCGGGUGACUGCCCAGGAGAGAUUCAGAGCACCCCCUCUUUCAAAGAGGAAAACUCAGCAGCUUCCUGCAGAACGUCAGACUCCAGAUGCACGCAGCGGCUCAGGAAGUUUGUUCUACGACAAGGACCCCGAAGAAAAGAAAAUUGCCCUGGAGCUGCUGGAAACGGAGCGAGCCUACGUCCAUCGCCUGCAUCUCCUGGACCAGGUCUUCUUUGUGGAGCUGCUGCAGGAGGCCAGAGGCGGGAAGCUGAUCCCGGAGGACGUGGUGAAAAUGAUCUUCUCCAACAUCUCCUCCAUUUACCAGUUCCACGCCUGCUUCUUCCUGCCGGAGCUGCAGAGGCGCAUGGCGGAC